GCCGGGCGCGGUGGCUCACGCCUGUAAUCCCAGAACUUUGGGAGGCUGAGGCAGGUGGAUCACCUGAGGUCAGGAGUUCGAGACCAGCCUGGCCAACAUGGUGAAACCCUGUCUCUA
ensembl:misc_RNA Metazoa_SRP Metazoan signal recognition particle RNA